rnacentral:rRNA from 1 species
AGUGAACGCUGGCGGUAGGCCUAACACAUGCAAGUCGAACGGCAGCACAGUAAGAGCUUGCUCUUACGGGUGGCGAGUGGCGGACGGGUGAGGAAUACAUCGGAAUCUACUUUUUCGUGGGGGAUAACGUAGGGAAACUUACGCUAAUACCGCAUACGACCUACGGGUGAAAGCAGGGGAUCUUCGGACCUUGCGCGAUUGGAUGAGCCGAUGUCGGAUUAGCUAGUUGGCGGGGUAAAGGCCCACCAAGGCGACGAUCCGUAGCUGGUCUGAGAGGAUGGUCGGCCACACUGGAACUGAGACACGGUCCAGACUCCUACGGGAGGCAGCGGUGGGGAAUAUUGGACAAUGGGCGCAAGCCUGAUCCAGCCAUACCGCGUGGGUGAAGAAGGCCUUCGGGUUGUAAAGCCGUUUUGUUGGGAAAGAAAAGCAGCAGGUUAAUACCCCGCUGUUCUGACGGUACCCAAAGAAUAAGCACCGGCUAACUUCGUG